CACUCCUGCGGGAGGCAGCAGUGGGGAAUAUUGCACAAUGGGCGCAAGCCUGAUGCAGCCAUGCCGCGUGUAUGAAGAAGGCCUUCGGGUUGUAAAGUACUUUCAGCGGGGAGGAAGGCGAUAAGGUUAAUAACCUUGUUGAUUGACGUUACCCGCAGAAGAAGCACCGGCUAACUCCGUGCCAGCAGCCGCGGUAAUACGGAGGGUGCAAGCGUUAAUCGGAAUUACUGGGCGUAAAGCGCACGCAGGCGGUCUGUCAAGUCGGAUGUGAAAUCCCCGGGCUCAACCUGGGAACUGCAUUCGAAACUGGCAGGCUAGAGUCUUGUAGAGGGGGGUAGAAUUCCAGGUGUAGCGGUGAAAUGCGUAGAGAUCUGGAGGAAUACCGGUGGCGAAGGCGGCCCCCUGGACAAAGACUGACGCUCAGGUGCGAAAGCGUGGGGAGCAAACAGGAUUAGAAACCCGGGUAGUCCCAUGAG
rnacentral:rRNA from 1 species